CCAGACUCCUACGGGAGGCAGCAGUGGGGGAUAUUGGACAAUGGGGGAAACCCUGAUCCAGCGACGCCGCGUGAGUGAAGAAGUAUUUCGGUAUGUAAAGCUCUAUCAGCAGGGAAGAAAGAAAUGACGGUACCUGAGUAAGAAGCCCCGACUAACUACGUGCCAGCAGCCGCGGUAAUACGUAGGGGGCAAGCGUUAUCCGGAAUUACUGGGUGUAAAGGGAGCGUAGACGGUAAUGCAAGUCUGGAGUGAAAUCCCAUGGCUUAACCAUGGAACUGCUUUGGAAACUGUGCAGCUAGAGUGCAGGAGAGGUAAGCGGAAUUCCUAGUGUAGCGGUGAAAUGCGUAGAUAUUAGGAGGAACACCAGUGGCGAAGGCGGCUUACUGGACUGUAACUGACGUUGAGGCUCGAAAGCGUGGGGAGCAAACAGGAUUAGAUACCCGAGUACC
rnacentral:rRNA from 1 species